rnacentral:rRNA from 1 species
AAUAUUGGACAAUGGGGGCAACCCUGAUCCAGCCAUCCCGCGUGUGUGAAGAAGGUCUUCGGAUUGUAAAGCACUUUAAGUUGGGAGGAAGGGCUUUAGGCUAAUACCCUGAAGUUUUGACGUUACUAACAGAAUAAGCACGGGCUAACGCUGACCCAGCAGCCGCGGUAAUACAGCGGGGGCAAGCGUAAAUCGGAAUGACUGGGCGUAAAGCGCGCGUAGGUUGAUCAGUAAGAUGGGUGUGAAAUCCCCCGGCUUAACCUGGGAACUGCUUUCAUAACUGCUGAGCUAGAGUACGGUAGAGGGUAGUGGAAUUUCCUGUGUAGCGGUGAGAUGCGUAGAUAUAGGAAGGAACACCAGUGGCGAAGGCGACUACCUGGACUGAUACUGACACUGAGGUGCGAAAGCGUGGGGAGCAAACA